rnacentral:ncRNA from 1 species
UAACAGGCUGAUGACUCCCAAGAGCUCGUAUCUACAAAGUCAUUUGGCAUCACGAUUUCGAUUCAUUGUAUCCUCCGGUUGAAGAAGGUCCCAAGGGUUCAGUUGUUUGCCAAUUCAAGUGGUACGUGAGUUGGGCCCCCACCGUUCUGGAUCUUUUG